rnacentral:rRNA from 1 species
UACGUAGGGUGCGAGCGUUUGUCCGGAAUUAUUGGGCGUAAAGAGCUCGUAGGCGGUGUGUCGCGUCGGCCGUGAAAACCUGCAGCUUAACUGUGGGCUUGCGGUCGAUACGGGCAUCACUGGAGUUCGGCAGGGGAGACUGGAAUUCCUGGUGUAGCGGUGAAAUGCGCAGAUAUCAGGAGGACACCGGUGGCGAAGGCGGGUCUCUGGGCCGGAUACUGACGUGAGGAGCGAAAAGCGUGGGGGAGCGAACAGG